GUAGGUGAACCUGCGGAAGGAUCAUUGUCAAAUCCUGCAGACGACUGCGAACAAGUAAACAAAUAAUGUGGGGCCCCAGAGGGCGGGAGAAAUCUUGCCGUCCGGCAACCACACAAAACUUAACUCCCGGCGCGGAAAGCGCCAAGGACUACUCAAACGGAUCGUCCGUCUCUCUUGCGGCUUCCGCGGGAGGGGCGGCGUCUGAAACGUAACCAAUACGACUCUCGGCAACGGAUAUCUAGGCUCUCGCAUCGAUGAAGAACGUAGCGAAAUGCGAUACUUGGUGUGAAUUGCAGAAUCCCGUGAACCAUCGAGUUUUUGAACGCAAGUUGCGCCCGAAGCCAUUAGGCUGAGGGCACGUCUGCCUGGGCGUCACGCAUCUCGUCGCCACCCCAUCUCCUCCGGUGAAAGGGGUGGCGGAUGUUGGCCUCCCGUGCCAAGUGGCGCGGUUGGCCCAAACGCGAGUUCUCGGAUCGGGACGUCACGACUAGUGGUGGUUGUAAUCUAAGCUUAGUCUUGACGGCCCUUUGCGGGCGAAAAUGACCCUAGA
rnacentral:misc_RNA from 1 species